UGCAGUCGACGAACCCUUCGGGGUUAGUGGCGCACGGGUGCGUAACGCGUGGGAAUCUGCCCUUGGCUUCGGAAUAACAGUUAGAAAUGACUGCUAAUACCGGAUGAUGUCUUCGGACCAAAGAUUUAUCGGCCAGGGAUGAGCCCGCGUAGGAUUAGGUAGUUGGUGGGGUAAAGGCCUACCAAGCCGACGAUCCUUAGCUGGUCUGAGAGGAUGAUCAGCCACACUGGGACUGAGACACGGCCCAGACUCCUACGGGAGGCAGCAGUGGGGAAUAUUGGACAAUGGGCGCAAGCCUGAUCCAGCAAUGCCGCGUGAGUGAUGAAGGCCUUAGGGUCGUAAAGCUCUUUUACCCGGGAUGAUAAUGACAGUACCGGGAGAAUAAGCUCCGGCUAACUCCGUGCCAGCAGCCGCGGUAAUACGGAGGGAGCUAGCGUUGUUCGGAAUUACUGGGCGUAAAGCGCGCGUAGGCGGUUAUUCAAGUCAGAGGUGAAAGCCCGGGGCUCAACCCCGGAACUGCCUUUGAAACUAGAUGACUAGAAUCUUGGAGAGGUCAGUGGAAUUCCGAGUGUAGAGGUGAAAUUCGUAGAUAUUCGGAAGAACACCAGUGGCGAAGGCGACUGACUGGACAAGUAUUGACGCUGAGGUGCGAAAGCGU
rnacentral:rRNA from 1 species